GGAGAGGUGGCUGAGCGGUUGAAAGCGGCUCCCUGCUAAGGAGUUACAGAAGGUAGCUUCUGUCGAGGGUUCGAAUCCCUCCCUCUCCGC
rnacentral:tRNA from 1 species